AAAUGACGAGCAGUUUUAGCUGACUGUGCUAACAGACGGUGUUCUUCACACUGGUCGUUGAAAAGACGCGCGUCGAGACGACGCUUCAGCGUCGGGCGUCACCCUGCUAAAUUCAGUCGUCAUUUGCACUGCGCAGCGUGUGGCGGGUGUGUAUUUGCUCCGGGUGCCUUCACAUUUGGCGUUUUCUCGACGAGCGUCGCUCCCUACACACGGAGCGUCAGAUUUGCAUCACGUUCCUUGCAUUACGUAGGCUAUUAUGGCUAACGAACUAAAUACUGAAAUGUUGAUUGAUUUAGUAGAAGAGAGACCCUGUCUCUGGGAUUUGUGUAAUGAUGAUUACAAGAACAAACAGAAGAAGGCAAAGUCAUGGGCGGAAAUUGGAGAGCAAUUGUCAGAAAACUUCAUGGACCAGAGCGAGAAGGAAAAAAAUGAGACAUGCAGAAGCCUUCAAAUGAAAUGGAAAUCGCUGAGGGAUCGAUAUGCAAGGACCAGAAAAGAGUGUCCCUCUGGGUCAGGUAAACAUGGUAAAAAGUCGUAUGUUUAUCAAGAAAGGUUAUCUUUUCUAUCUAAAAUUUAUGAAACUAGGGCAACAUCUAGCUCGUUAUACCAGGAACCAACGGAAAUAGAUCCAACUCACGAAGACAAAAAUACCCAAGCUUAUGUACCAAAAGAAGGUUCUGCUAAGCAUCCCAAGAAAAAUAAAAGAGAUAAGGUAGAAGAUAAGCUUAUAGCUUUCAUCGAUGGCAGCAGGAACAAACCAAGUAAUGAUUUUGUUAAGUUUUGUGAGUCUCUAACCCCCAAUAUGAUCGAUUUUACGGAGGCAGAGAUCUUUGAAGUAAAAUCAGACCUGCUGUAUUCGGUAAGAAAAAUAAAAGAGAGAAAAAAGCGCGAACGUGACAUAGCAAGUCGGCAAUCAACUUCCUCAGGUCACAGUAUCAUGCAUUCGUCACAAAACCUGAUCCCUCCUAAUACUUUCUAUGAUGUUGAACCUAAUCAAUCACAAAUGAUGCAUGUUACUACUCCCACUGUGCCGCAGGGAAAUACGUCACCUUUGGAUUCAAUUCUAUCUGAAACCUCAGAAAUACUCGAUGUCAUGAAUUACCAUUAACAUAUCUUUGUUCGUUUUGUAAUAUUUAAGUUUUCAAGGAAAUACUUAUUGGUAGAAUUACAUAUUUUUUUGUUAUAUUAUAUUUAAUUUCAGCGUUCAAGUAAAUAAAUUGUAUGAGCAU